CAUUGUCCUCUCCACAAUCCCCGAACACACUGAUUCUAACCAUGGAAUGGAGCUUUGUCUUUCUCUUCUUCCUGUCAGCAGCUGCAGGUGUCCACUCCGAAGUUCAACUGCAGCAGUCUGGGGCUGAGCUGGUGAAGCCUGGGGCUUCAGUGAAGUUGUCCUGCAAAACUUCUGGUUACACCUUCAGCAAUUACUAUAUGAGUUGGUUGAAGCAGAUGCCUGGACAGAAUAUUGAGUGGAUCGGAAACAUUUAUGGUGGAAAUGGUGGUACUGGCUAUAAUCAGAAGUUCAAGGGCAAGGCCACACUGACAGUAGACAAAUCUUCCAGCACAGCGUACAUGGAUCUCAGCAGCCUGACAUCUGAGGACUCUGCAGUCUAUUUUUGUGCAAGGCACAGUGUUUUAACCACAUCCUGAGUGUGUCAGAAACCCUGGAGGAGCAGCAAGCUCCCCUAGGUCUGAGAUAAC
rnacentral:lncRNA from 1 species